UACACUCCUGCGGGAGGCAGCAGUGGGGAAUUUUGGACAAUGGGCGAAAGCCUGAUCCAGCAAUGCCGCGUGUGUGAAGAAGGCCUUCGGGUUGUAAAGCACUUUUGUCCGGAAAGAAAUCCUUGGCUCUAAUACAGUCGGGGGAUGACGGUACCGGAAGAAUAAGCACCGGCUAACUACGUGCCAGCAGCCGCGGUAAUACGUAGGGUGCGAGCGUUAAUCGGAAUUACUGGGCGUAAAGCGUGCGCAGGCGGUUUGCUAAGACCGAUGUGAAAUCCCCGGGCUCAACCUGGGAACUGCAUUGGUGACUGGCAGGCUAGAGUAUGGCAGAGGGGGGUAGAAUUCCACGUGUAGCAGUGAAAUGCGUAGAGAUGUGGAGGAAUACCGAUGGCGAAGGCAGCCCCCUGGGCCAAUACUGACGCUCAUGCACGAAAGCGUGGGGAGCAAACAGGAUUAGAAACCCUGGUAGUCCCA
rnacentral:rRNA from 1 species